rnacentral:rRNA from 1 species
UGAGGUAGUAUUAGUUAUGUUCUUGAAACUUAAAAAAUUUGGCGGUAUUUUAGUCUAUUCAGAGGAACUUGUUUUUUAAUCGAUAAUCCACGAUGGACCUAACUUAAAUUUGUAAUCAGUUUAUAUACCGUUGUUAUUAGAAUAUUUUAUAAGAAUUUUAAUUUUCUUAAUUUUUGAAUAAAAAAUAUAUCAGAUCAAGGUGUAGCUUAUAUUUAAGUAAAAAUGAGUUACAAUAAAUUUAUUUAUAUGAAUAUAAAUUUGAAAUAUUUAUUGAAGGUGGAUUUGAUAGUAAAAUUAUAAAGAUAAAUAAU